rnacentral:rRNA from 1 species
ACGUAGGGUGCGAGCGUUAAUCGGAAUUACUGGGCGUAAAGCGUGCGCAGGCGGUUCGCUAAGUCUGGUGUGAAAUCCCCGGGCUUAACCUGGGAAUGGCGCUGGAGACUGGGGGACUAGAGUGCGGCAGAGGGGGGUGGAAUUCCAGGUGUAGCAGUGAAAUGCGUAGAGAUCAGGAGGAACACCGAUGGCGAAGGCAGCCCCCUGGGCCGAUACUGACGCUCAUGCACGAAAGCGUGGGGAGCAAACAG